CAGCUACACAUGCAGUCGAGCGGUAGAGAGAAGCUUGCUUCUCUUGAGAGCGGCGGACGGGUGAGCAAUGCCUAGGAAUCUGCCUGGUAGUGGGGGAUAACGUCCGGAAACGGACGCUAAUACCGCAUACGUCCUACGGGAGAAAGCAGGGGACCUUCGGGCCUUGCGCUAUCAGAUGAGCCUAGGUCGGAUUAGCUAGUUGGUGGGGUAAUGGCUCACCAAGGCGACGAUCCGUAACUGGUCUGAGAGGAUGAUCAGUCACACUGGAACUGAGACACGGUCCAGACUCCUACGGGAGGCAGCAGUGGGGAAUAUUGGACAAUGGGCGAAAGCCUGAUCCAGCCAUGCCGCGUGUGUGAAGAAGGUCUUCGGAUUGUAAAGCACUUUAAGUUGGGAGGAAGGGCAGUAAAUUAAUACUUUGCUGUUUUGACGUUACCGACAGAAUAAGCACCGGCUAACUCUGUGCCAGCAGCCGCGGUAAUACAGAGGGUGCAAGCGUUAAUCGGAAUUACUGGGCGUAAAGCGCGCGUAGGUGGUUCGUUAAGUUGGAUGUGAAAUCCCCGGGCUCAACCUGGGAACUGCAUUCAAAACUGACGAGCUAGAGUAUGGUAAAGGGUGGUGGAAUUUCCUGUGUAGCGGUAAAAUGCGUAAAUAUUGGAAGGAACACCGGUGGCGAAGGCCACCCCGGGACUGAUCCUGACAUUGAGGUGCGAAAUCGUGGGGAGCAACAGGAUUAGAGACCCUGGUAGUCCACGCCGUAAACGAUGUCAACUAGCCGUUGGGAGCCUUGAGCUCUUAGUGGCGCAGCUAACGCAUUAAGUUGACCGCCUGGGGAGUACGGCCGCAAGGUUAAAACUCAAAUGAAUUGACGGGGCCCGCACAAGCGGUGGAGCAUGUGGUUUAUUCGAGCACGCGAGACCUUACCAGCCUUGACAUCC
rnacentral:rRNA from 1 species